UCCCACCAGAGCCCUUGUCACCCUAUGCUUGCCAGUCUCAUCCACUUACCUCUCAGAGCACAGGGCCAGGACUUGGCCUCAGUCCUCCAACCCUUCUCUGCUCGCCCAGGCCUCCUGCCCUACAGCUCCCCCAGGACACCUUCCCCAGAUAACGUGCCUGCCCGCUGUUUCUCUCAUCCUAGACAUUGUCCUAGGGUCCCUUUCUCUUGCCAGGACCCUUAUCAUCACCUUUGUGCUUCAAGUGUCUAGGGACAAACUCAGGAGGAUGUUCUCUGAUCUGUGCACACGUACCCCACUCCUGAUCCUGAGACCAUCUCAUGGGGGCAUGCUUCUGUUCACAAGCAGGUGAUGCUUGAGGGCAUCAAUUGCUUAGGGGAAACCCUUGCGCCUUGCACCUACUGGAAAAAAGCUCACCCAUCUACCCUACAUCCGUCAUGGGUCAUUGUUGGUAUGGUUGGAUUGGCAUUGGUCAGUUUGCCAUGCCUUUACGUCAUUAGAUCCUGCAGGUAGGCAUUCCAGCAUCCACUUUAUGGGGGAGGAAGCUGUGGGUCUCAGAGACCUGCAGUGACAGAGCCGGGGUCAGAAUCAAAGCCCCUGGUGGGUUGUGAUUCCACACCUCAUUGGGGCACCAAGUUCAGUCAGUGAGUCUGUGACACACAUGGCUUUAAGCCGCAGCUGAUGACCAGUGGCGAUUCUCAUGGCUGGUGUGAGCAACCUGGGGAGCAUGGGCUCCUGAGUCCCAGUUGCCACCAGCCCUGGAACUGAGUGUUCAGCUCACAUAUCCCUGUUCUUUAUCUUCAUCUGGGUCUGAGAGUUUGCUCUUGGUUUGGGCGAUGGGGAUUUGGAAGACUGGACCCACAGAGGACACUGUGGCAUAGAGAGGAGGGAGAUAAGCGCAAGGCGAGGAGCUUCAUUUAAUGUGGCACCUGUGCUGUAUUUAACUACGAGACUCCCUGAGGAAGAUUACAGCUGAGACCCCCACCUUUCUCCCUCGGAAAAUCUGCAAGAGAUUUUUUUCCUGUUUUACUUCGCCUCUUGGUCUGGCAACGGGGGUGCGUCCCUGGGUGGCACUACUGGGCCUGUUCAGGUCUGUUUGAGAAAGGGAAAAGUCCUCACUAGAGGUCCAGAGCUCCUCAGAAGGGACUUCCCUGUUCUCCUUGGCUCUUCUCCAAGGCCCUCAGCUUCCUGCCACCGUGGUCGAGCCCUUAGUUCCUACUGCAAGUGGCUCCACCCCUGAAACCUUCUCUCCCCUUGCCCUGACUCUGUGCCUCACACACCUUGCCAUUCUCGGUUUCAGCAGUGAUCUUGCCACCCUCCCGGGACAAGAUCUUGGCCUUGACAAACUCCUCCUUGUCGUCUGGCACAAAGCACUCAGUGCGGAUGUCGAAGGGCCGGGUCUGGGCCUCCAGACGCUCCUUCUCUGACUUGCGGAGGUACUGGGCUGCCUCCCCAAAAUCGGCCAUCUGGGCAUCCGCCAUCUUCUUGCUGCACUGGGGACGAGACAGGAGGGCUCUGUCACUCCUGAGAGAGUCCUGAAGAAUCUGGACCACGGGUGGAGCAGGAGGAACCACAGAGAAACAGCCUGGCAGAAAGGACAGACAAGGAGAAUGGAUACAGGCAGGCAGGAGACUGGGAGAAGGACAGUGAGCCAGGAGGCUUGACUUGCAGAUACAAACGCACAGACAGGAGCAGGACAGACCAGAAUACGGAGUUAGAGAGGGAAGAGGCAGCGACGUGCAAAAGAGAGGAUGCAGCUGCCUCCCGCAUGAGCUCCUCUUUGUCAGGAAGUCCUGGAGUAUGAGGCAUGAGACUCCAGUCACAGCCUCUGCAGUCCAUGAACGAGUGGCCUGCUGUCUGACCUGCUGAUCUUGGGUUCAUCAGCCCCUGCAGCCACGUGAGUCAGGAGGAGCAUCUAGCCUGAAGCCUGACUUGGAACUUGCCAGCCUCUACAACUGCGUGAGCCAUUUCCUUAAGAUAAACCUCUCUCUUUGUCUCUAUUAUAUAUCUCAAUAUACAUACAUAUGUAUAUACACACAUAUAUGUGGAAACCCUGUUGGCGUAGUGGUUAAGGGCUACAGCUGCUAACCAAACGGUUGGCAGUUUGAAUCUGCCAGGCGCUCCUUGGAAACUCUAUGGGGCAGCUCUAUUCCGUCCUGUGGGGUCGCUAUGAGUUGGAAUCGACUCAGCGGCGCUGGGUUUGGUUUAUAUAUAUAUGCUUCGCCGGUUUUGCUUCUCUAGAGAACCUAGCCUAAGUCAGAGGGAGGCUCAGUCUAGAACUGAGCCAAGGCUUCCUAGAUUCGCAGCAGGAGGCUGACAGUCCCAUUGCCUCCCAAGCUCCUGCCCUGUAUGGCCCAUAAUCCCAGGCCUAUCCUAAGUAUCCCAGCUCUGGCAGUAGUAACACCAGGGAGUGGGGUGGGGAGUUGGGAGUGCUGGGCCUGGUUAGUAGAAGGAGGGCUGUGCUCCUUCUCCAUUCCCCAGCCCUCCAGAGAUCCAUCCUCUCUCCUCUCCCAGGGGUCUUGCUCAUACAUGACUCUCCCCUGCCUGGCCUCCCUUUGAGAUGGCUGCCAUAAAUAGGCCAAAGAACCCCCACCUUCCAGCCAGCUCAGAUGAGGUGGGUCUUGGGAAUACAGGUUACAGGGGAGAGAAAUGAGGGAGAAAUAAGUAGUAUCCUGGACUGAAGGGGCUAAGCCCCAGAGGGGAUGAGGAGAGGAAGGUAGGUUGGGGGUUGUUGUGAGAUAGUGGUAGCUGUGUCUGGAAGGGUGAGACCUUGUGCCCUCUCAGAGACUUGCCUUGGGCCAGGGCUUAAAGGGUCAUUACCCCACCUGCCCAAAGAGGUUACGCCUCAGAGGGUCCAGAAAACUAAACCUCCUCCCCACGGCCGUACCAUGAUUGUAUUGGUGGUAAGUGGUGUUGAACAGAGCUGGGGCUGUAGAACCAAAGCAUAUAGGCUCAGGGUGCUCUAGAUAACCUUUAAAAGUUCCCUAAACCCCCUUCAACUCUGAGGGCCUUUGGGCCAGAGAGAGAGCUGGGAGGAGAGGUGCCAUCUUUCUAUUCCAUUCCCAGUGGAGGAGGUGAAGCGGAGCUGGAGCUCUCUGGGCUACAGCUGCACAGGCAGCGCUCAGAGCUUCACAGGCUCCCGCAGGGAGGCCUCCCAGCCUGGCCUUUGAAGUUGCCCCUCCUCCCCUAGAGCCCUGCUUCUUCCCACAUCCCACGUCCCCAUGGCUGGCAGGCAGGGAAGAAGAGUCUGAAGGCAAGAUCUUAGCUUCAA